UUUGGUUACAGUAUGUCAGGCAAAAUAAUAAUUUAAAUAAAUCAUUGACCUCUGCUUUCUUCAUUAGUUCAUAAACACAGAUUUUAAAAAAAUAAUAAUUUAAAACAGCAUAUCUGGAUAUCUUUUUCUGCUGGAGAUACUGUUGUCCUAAAAUAGUAAAAAAAAUAAAUAAAUAAAUAAAAAUAAAUAAAUAAAUUAAAAAAAAAUUAAAAAUCUAUAUAUACAAUAGGAACAGUAUACCAGAAAAUUUGAGUGGUUUUAAAACCUUGUCUUUCCCAAAUUGCAGUAUACCUAUGAUUAUCAUCCCAUGCCUAAUUCGGAUGAAUUAACAGUUAGCCCUAUUAAAUCUUUCACAGCCGGCAUCACAGACACAAGACAAUGAAAUACUAUUGCAUAGCCACAAAAUGCUUUUCCAUUUUGUCAUAAAAUGACUUAAGAUGAAAAUUGAAUAUAGGCUAAAUAAAGAAAACAUGUGAGGCUGUUAGUAAAACAUUCUGUGGUUGAGCCUUUUUAACCCAACCCUUCUCUCAACCCCCAACACAGACUUCAAACUACUGAAAUCUGGUUUCUCCGCCCCGAGUUACACACACACAUUUCUUGUCUGUAUGGGGUUUGCAAUGCAAUAAUGUUGAGCUUUUUUUGUUUUCAAAUGUAACCUUUCUGAGAUGUUAAAAAGGGGGAUUUACACAUGUGUCUGUUUUUACCUGUGGCUUUUAGAGGGUUUUAUGUUGACACAUCAGCAACUUCAGACAAACACUGUAGAGAACUUAAUCACAUCACCAGCAGUUUUUCGUGGAGAUGAACCAAAGACAGUUUCAGUGACUGAGGGAGAUUCUGUCACGCUAAACACUGGUGUUACUAAAAUACAGAGCAAUGAUCAGAUACUGUGGACAUUUUGGCUUAAAAAUACAGAGACUCGUAUAGCUGAAAUCUAUAAAGAGAGAAAAUAUAUAUAUGAGAAUGAGAUAUUCAGACACAGACUACAGUUAGAUGAGAAGUCUGGAUCUCUGAUCAUCACAAACAUCAACAAACUGCACUCUGGACUUUAUAAACUAAUGAUCAUCAGUGGAGGGGUCAAACACAGACAUUUUAACAUUGCUGAUUAUGCACCUCUAACUGUUCCUGUGAUCAGCGAUUCUCCUCCAAACCCUUCAGUAUCAAAAAGAUCCUUAAACCAGAACUGUUCGCUGGUGUGUUCAGUGGUGAAUGUGAGUGCUGUGAGUCUCUCCUGGUACAAAGGAAACAGUGUAUUGUCCAGCAUCAGUGUGUCUGAUCUCAGCAUCAGUCUUUCUCUACCUCUGGAGAUUGAGUGUCUGGAUGACUCCUACAGCUGUGUUGUGGCUUACUCAUUCACAAACCAGACUACACACCUCAACAUUACUCAGCUAUGCGGGACAUGUUCAGCAACCAGACAACUCUUUAUUCAGAAAGCUCUAAUAAUUACUGGUGUAGUCCUGUUGUUGUUGUUGUUGCUGGUGGUCACAGUUGGAGUUAUGAAGUUCUGGCACAGGAGGAACAACAAACCAGCAAUUGAAACUACAGAAGAAGAGGUCGUUUAUACUGAUGCAACAUUUACUACACACAGAGCUCCAGAUACUAAAACUAAGGGACUGGAUCAGACCGAGUAUUCAGAAGUGUUUCUGAGAUGA
ensembl:processed_transcript